CUCUACGCGGAAGGUUCGAUUCCCCCGCGCUCCC
rnacentral:tRNA from 1 species